rnacentral:misc_RNA from 1 species
CCUAGAGUUGUAGGCUUUGCCUGCUAUCUCUUACCCAUGUCUUUUGAGUACCUUACGUUUCCUCGGUGGGUUCGCCCACCGAUUGGACAAAUUCAAACCCUUUGCAGUUGAAAUCAGCGUCUGAAAAAACUUAAUAGUUA